GACGUAGGAGGCGAGCGUUGUCCGGAUUCAUUGGGCGUAAAGAGCACGCAGGCGGUUUGGCAAGUCGGAUGUGAAAACCCGAAGCUCAACUUCGGGCGUGCAUCCGAAACUGCCCGACUAGAGGUAGGUAGGGGAGAUCGGAAUUCCUGGUGUAGCGGUGAAAUGCGCAGAUAUCAGGAGGAACACCGGUGGCGAAGGGCGGAUCUCUG
rnacentral:rRNA from 1 species